GUGAUCGUGCUAGAGUGGUUAUCACGCAUGACUAGAAAUCAUGUGGGCUUUGCUCACGCAAGUUCAAAUCCUGUCGACUAUG
rnacentral:tRNA from 2 species